CAGUAGCCGCGGUAAUACGAAGGGUGCAAGCGUUAAUCGGAAUUACUGGGCGUAAAGCGUGCGUAGGCGGUUUCUUAAGUCUGCUGUGAAAUCCCCGGGCUCAACCUGGGAAUGGCAGUGGAUACUGGGAAGCUAGAGUGUGUCAGAGGAUGGUGGAAUUCCCGGUGUAGCGGUGAAAUGCGUAGAGAUCGGGAGGAACAUCAAUGGCGAAGGCGGCCAUCUGGGACAACACUGACGCUGAGGCACGAAAGCGUGGGGAGCAAACAGGAUUAGAUACCCCCGUAUCCCUGUCUCUUAUACC
rnacentral:rRNA from 1 species